rnacentral:rRNA from 1 species
CCGCAGUAAUUUGACUGUGCAAAGGUAGCAUAAUCAAUAGUUUUUUAAUUGAAAGCUUGUAUGAAAGGUUGGACGAAAUAAUAUCNGUCUUUAUUUAAUAAUUAUUAAAAUUUAAUUUUUAAGUUAAAAAGCUUAAAUAUUAAUAAAAGACGAGAAGACCCUAUAGAGCUUUAUAUAUUCUUAUUUAUAAAUAUUUUAGAUUUUUUAUUUUUAUAAAUUUUAAUUUAUUGUAUUGGGGUAAUAGAGAGAUUAAAAAAAUUCUUUUUUAUAUUUUUAUUUAUUUAUAUUUUUAAAUGAUCCAUUAUUAGUGAUUAUAAGAUUAAGUUACCUUAGGGAUAACAGCGUAAUUUUUUUAGAGAGUUCAUAUUGAUAAAAGAGUUUGCGACCUCGAUGUUGNAUUAAAGAUUAGUUUAGGUGCAAAAGUUUAAAUUUUUGGUCUGUUCGACCAUUAAAUCUUUACAUGAUCUGAGUUCAGACCGGUUUAAGCCAGGUCGGUUUCUAUCUUUAUUUAAAUAUAAUAUUUUAGUACGAAAGGACCAAAUAUUAAUUAUAAUAAUUUUAUUUUUGAAUAAUAUU